UAAAAAUUUAUUUACCGAGCCUUUACACCUAAACCUGUUGGCAGGGUGUACUGGCCGCAAGCUUUAACUCAGGUUUAAACGCUUGCCAGGGUUGUGCAGGAAACCGCGCCGCCUCCCGACUUGGAAAGGUGAAACAUGCUGGAAGAU
rnacentral:ncRNA from 1 species